ensembl:lncRNA
UUAGUGGGCAUGGUGGGGGUGGGCUGGUGGUUGGACUGGGCAUUCUAGAGGUCUUUUCCAGCCUUAAUGAUUCUAUGAUUUUUUCAACCCUCCGAUAUCCAAAACAUUCCCCAGGUUUCAUGAGCUUCUGCUGACCCUCAAAACCCACAAACUACUUAUAUAGCCAGUAAUUUUAUAUGACCAGUCACAAAACAAAGAAGGUAUUGUGUGGAAACACUGAGUCUGAUCUACACUUUGUAGAAAAAAUCUGCUGUUCAGCUCUUUGUAACUGUAUGCUGGGGGUGGCUCCAGGAAAGCUUCUAAGUGUGACCGUGGAAGUCUGGCUCAGUCCCUGUAGAUAUCAACAAAAAAACAGGAAAAUGUCCAUUGUCUUUGGCAGAACCAGAGACUGGUGCAUAGAUGCAUGAUGGAAAAAAACUUCUCAUACCUACUUACUGAACAAAACUACAGCCGUAGGCUCAUUGUUGUUGCAGUGGGAGUUAUGCAAGUGCAAACUGGCAUUAGCACAGUGUUCCAAGACUUAAUAUCAUUCCAGGCAAUUUACUGCUCUCCAAUAUUAAAGCUGCUGUCCGUACAAAAACAACAGCACACAGUGGCACAUCUUUUAUUUUCUGUAUUUAUUUUCAGCUAUGCUUAGCUGAGCUACCUUAGCAGUGUUGCUUUCAUAAUGUUAAAUCUGUACUCAUGUUACAGCAAACAAUAAUGCUGAAGGAGCUAUGAAAAUUAGUUCCUCCUCUUCUGGGAAACAUCACCUUCUAAGCCCUUGUAGGACCUGUUGCAGCACACUACACUAGUCCAGGAAAUGUUUUAUCACACUGUUGUACAAUAACUGAUUUUGGCUCAGUAGAAGUAUUUACAGGAAAAAAAAAAAAAAUGUUGUGCCUUGGUUUUCCAGGAAAGAGGGAUGCCAAACCAGGAGACAAGCCCCAGUCCCAUUUCUCCCAGCAGACUGUUCUGGCCUCUAGGUCUUGGUUAGGCUCUUUCACAUUUGUUCUCCUUCUGGCUCCACAACUUUUGCACUCCUGUCAGCACCAUGACACAGACUGAAAAGCAAUUACCCUCUUUAGAGGUCCCUUCCAUCCCAAAAUCAUUCUUCUCCCAAAUCAGAGCUGUGCAUCCCAUCUUUCUCCAGACAGAAGUGAAGGGAUCACAUCCUGGUGAACAGCUGUAAACAGUGUGUCUAAGGUGCAGCCUAGGGUCUGUAGCAGUGGCAGCUAUCACACCUUCAACAUUGGUGCUGACAGAUACCUUCAGCAAUAGUUCCUGCUUCUGCCUCUGAGACAGGUCAUGUGCCAUGUUGAAAUGUUUGAAUAGGCUUCCCACUUUAUGCAGAGGAUUUGGGUCUGUAAGCGCACCUAACUCUUUCCACAGAAUUUAUAGGGAGAAUAAAUCCCUAAUUCAGGCAGGCCCCAUCUUCCAGCUCCUCAAUGUCUUUCUUACAGUGAGGGGCCCAGAACUGAACGCAGCACUCGAGGUGCAGCCUCACCAGAGCUGAGUAAAGAGGAACGGUCACCUUCCUGCUCCUGCUGGCUGCACUAUUGCUGAUACAAACCAGGAUAGCAUUGGCCUUCUUGGCCACCUGGGCACACUGCUGGCUCACAUUCAGCUGGCUGUCAACCAACACCUCCAGAAUCUUUUCCUCCACUCUGCUUUCCAGCUGCCAUGCCUCAUGUCUAUAGUGAUGCGUGAGGUUGUUGUGACCAAAGUGCAGGACCCAGCACUUGGUUGUGUUGAAGCUCACACAAUUGGCCUCAGCCCAUCGAUCCAGCCUGCCCAGAUCACUCUGUAGGGUCUUCCUACCCUCAGGCAGAUCAACACUUCCUUCCAACUUGAUAGUUGUCUUCUUAGAAGUCUGUCUUAACCAUGCAGCAUGGCAAAUAAAGCAAAAAAAGAACUAUGCCUUUUCAUUCCAGCAAACCAGACAGCUGCCCCUGAAUGACAUAGAAAGAAAGAGGACCAAAAAAAAAAAACAAAAAAAACAAGAAAAAAAAAUAAGAUGAGGAAGCCUUAAUUAAAAGAUAAACACAAAUGAAAUCAAAACAGUCAAUGGUAGUUCAACUCUAAUUGAAUUUUAUCGUCAGCAGAGCUGCUGUUGUUUUUCCCUUCCUCCCAGACUGAAAAGCUCUGGAGAGGAAAUUUCCCUCAUCAAAUUUCACAUUCUGUUCAGUUAGCUUGUGAUUUUUAAAAAAAAAAUAUUUUUUUUAAGAAGGACAUAGAAAAGAAAAAAGAAACUUGAAAGGAACCUGUUUAAUUCCAACCAAGGCACUUAAACCAACCCACUUUCUACCAGACUGUUCAGGGAACUGAGGGUGUCAGCUCUAAUCAUCUGUCCCUGUUUUCUGAGGGUAAAUUCCCCAUGUGUCUCAGAACUGGGGAGAAGAGGCUCUGGAGUCCUCCAAGGAAUUGGAUUGUAAUUCUAAUGUGAUGGCAUCAGCUAAUUAGCAGCUCAAAGAAAUCUCACCUUCGGCCCCUCUCCAGAUUUUUCUCCAAUUAUGGCUAAGGGUGAAGCCCUCAGAAGGGAGGUGAGGAAGGGGAAAGUUGUCCGUGGGUUACAGGGCUACAAAGAAUAAAAAUGACUGAGAUAUUCAGUGGCACUCCUGUUUAAUUCUGACCAAUGGGAGCGUUAGCAUCCUGCAAAUAGGGACAAGUUAAUGUGGGAGAUACUAAGCAGAGUAAAGUCCCAAAGCCUCUUCUCUGGCUCCUUGCACAGAAAUAAGUUUUACCGGUGUCAAUGCAAGAGACUUACCAGUCUCUGGAUAUGAUUGCGCUUUUUCACAUAUGUAUGUGAACAUAAACAUACAUUUUUCUUGAGGUUCUGCUUUAAAAUUCUUAACUACAGAGGUUCUUUUGCUGCACUCUUUUCUCAUACAUAUCAUGCGGAGCAGCAAACACUGUUUACUGCAAGAAGAAAAAUCACUCGCACACCAAAGGCAGAGAACACUUUAGUUGCUGCUAUCCUCAAAAGAGUUUUCUGCUGUGCCCAGAAAGUUUGGGUCUGUUUUUCAUACCUCUGUGGCACUGGAAGACUCUCCCACUGAAACCAAUGUAGUCCCUUUUUCACGGAAAACAAAGCUCUUCCCAACUGCCAUAAAAUGGGACUGCCUUAUAAAUGCCAUAAAAUCACACAGAGUUUUACAAAUGCCAUAAAUGUGGCCAUGCAAAGAGUGAAAAUAUUUUCAAGUGUGGUUGCAUCUCUCCCCAGUAACUGUGAGAUGCCUGUCAAAGUACAAAGCUUUGGAACAGUCAUAUCACUGUACAAAGCAAUAUAAAGCUCAGAUGAUGACAUCAACAAAUGCUCAGUGCUGACACUUAAAAGAGCAGCUGUAAAAAAUAGCACUCCCUGAUAAAAAGCACAACAUCAGCCAUAGACUUUAUGCAAAAUAUGUAUCUACUAUACAAACAUACUGGGCUGCAAAAUAUAGCUAAUAAAAUAAGUGAUUUGCCUGCCUGCUGCUUCCAGAAUCAUUCACAGUCCUCAGUUGGCAUUAUUCCCUAGGGGUGAUUAUUUCCUAGCAGCAAAGAAGAAACUCUUGAUGAUUUUUUUCUCUUUUGUUGGCAGUGAAGAGCCACCCUUGAAAAUCUGAUUUUAACUCACUAAGAUUGUUACGAGCUCCCUGUACAAAAAAAAAAAUAAUUAAUUAAAUUAAUAUUUUAAUAUAUAAUACAAUUUAAUUAAAAACAAUUAAAAGCAGGUGCUAAAUAAAUGAAAUAACUUACCUCUCCCAGGGAUAGCAUCUGUUCUUCCAGCUCAGAAAUAUCACUGGCAUGCCUGUGUUUCUACACAGAGUGGAUCACAGGGCACCAGUCAUGCUAAAUGUCACCUUGCAGUAAAAUGUCACAUGGUGGGUGUUCCAUCAUUGUAGACAUUCAAGAUCAGGCUGGAGGGGCUCUGAGCACCCUGAUCUAGCUGUAGGUGUUCCUGUUCAUUGCAGGUGAGUUGGACUUGAUGGCCUUUAAGGGUCUCUUCCAACUCAAAUGAUUCUAUGAUGAGACAGUCAAGAUACAUCUAGUUUUAGCCAAUGCAGAGAAAUAAUCUGGUGAGUCAUCAGCCAGUUUCAACAUAGAGGCCACUCUUGAGCCAUAUUCUUGGGUGCUGUAUCUAAGCAAAGACAUCUCCUUUUUUCAGAUGGCCCCAGGCAGUUCCAUAGACAGUGCUGGCACACCCCUGUGUCACUCAUACAUGCUUUCAUACUCACUUCUUGCUUGUACUUGAAGUGAAUAAAAUCUCUCCCUUGCACACACUAUCAAUUUUGUGAUCUAUGUGACAAUAAAAAUCACUCUGAAAAAAGCCUCCGAAUUUCUCUGCUGGUAAGGGUGAUAUUUGCUGCCUAAAUACGGCUCAAGAAAUCUUUCUAGGGGUGUUCAGACCGCAAUAACUUCUUAACAGAAAACAAAGGCCUUUUUCCUUGGCUGAUCUCCAAAGGACCUUAAUUUUCAGGGGUGGCAAGCUACUUUGCAUGUACUACACAGAGAACUGGCUGUACUUCCACCUAUUAACUUAUUAUUAUCUGGUUUGCAUUCACUUUCAUGGGAAGCCAUCCUCCUGUUAAGGGAAGCCUUUUAUCAGAGGCAUACUUCAGUAGAGGACUGCAUUUUAUGGGUAGCUUGGCAAAAGUUUUCUCCCACCGGCUCUUUCCAACGGUCAGGUAGUUCAUAUUUCAUCAAUGAAGUCAACCAGCUACCCAAAGUUAGGUGUAUUUUUAACUAUUUAAACGUUGGAUUCUAAUCCUGGUGAUCCAGCAGCCUUGCAGAGAAGGACUUAGGGGUCCUAGUGGACAAGAAGCUGGACAUGAGCCAGCAGUGUGUGCUUGCAGCCUGGGAGGUCAACUGUGUUCUGGGCUACACUAGAAGAGGGGUGGCAGAAGGGAGAGGGGGGUGGUUGUCCCCCUCUUCUCUGUACUCAUGAGAUCCCAUCUGGACUACUGCAUCCAGGCCCGGGGACACUGGUACAAUUAAGAUGAGGAGCUACUUGGAGUGAGCCCAGAGGACAGCCACAAAGAAGAUCAGAGGGCUGGAGCACCUCUUCUAUGAAGAAAGGUUGAGGGAGUUGGGCUUGUUUAGCUUGGAGAGGGAAAGGUUCUGGGGAGACCUCAUUCAGCCCUCCAGUCCUUUAGGGGAGCUCAUAAGCAGGAGGGAGAUUGACUUUUUACACAGUCUAAUAGUGGUAAGACAAGGGGGAAUGACUUUUAACUAAAACAGGGGAGAUUUAGGUUAGAUGUGUUGUGGUUUAACCUGGCAAACAGCUAAACACCACAGUCUUUCACUCACUCAUAUCCUCUCAGCGGGAUGGGAAAAAGAACUGGGAAAAAAAAAUUACAAUUCAUAGAUAGGAAUAAAAACAAUUUACAAAAUCAGGGGGAAAAAAGAGAGAAAUAAAAAUAAUUAUAUAUAAAUUUAUGUACAUAUAUAUAUUUACAAACUAGUGACACACAAAACAAUCACUCACAACCAGUGCCCAGCCAGUCCAUGGGUAGUGGCAGCCACCUCCACCCAUGACCAACUCCCCUCAGUUUUACAGUUUUUUUCACAUGAUGUCAUAUGGUAUUGAAUAUUUCUUCAGUCGUUUUAGGUCAGCUGUCUUGGUUUUGUCCCUUCCCAGCUCCUUGUGCCCCCUCAGCCUCCCUCUCUUGCAGGACGGUAUGAGAAGCUGAGAACUGAAAUAUCCUUGGCUCUGUACAGCGCUGCUGAGCAAUAACAAAAACAUUGGCUUGUUAUCAACACUGUUUUUCUUCCAAAACCAAAAUAUAAGCAUCACACCUGACACUGAAGAAAAUUAACUCUGUCCCAGCUGAAACCAGGGCAAGAUGUUAGCCAGAAAUUCUUUACUCAGAAGGUUCUGAGGCACUGGCACAGCUGCCCAGAGAAGCUGUGGAUGCCCCAUCCAUGGACGUGCUCAAGGCCAGGUUGGAUGGGGCUCUGGGCAGCCUGAGCUGGUGGGAGGCAGCCCUACCCAUGGCAGGGGGUAGGGCUUUAAGUUCUCUUCCAACCAACCAUUCUAUGAUUCUAUGAUCCCUGAAAAUGGCAGACAGUGUUUCCCAAGCACCCGGGCUCCCCAGAAUGACACCAACACUCAUCCCUCUGCGCCUUCUUACACACAGCACUGCCUCAACUCAGCUUUUCUCCACAGAGAGCUGCUUCACCAAAGAAAAUAAUCAAAGUACCCAAAAUCCACUGGGGUGCUUUCAGGGCUUUCUACAAAGCUUCCUGCAAACCUCCAAUUUCCCUGCUGUAAAUAUACCUCUGACAUUUUAGGUGGAGUCUCCUGGGAGUACUGUGGAGUCAACACAGAGUCAACAAAGCGAGUUUAUGGCUGGGUAAAUCUCAGCAAAAGUAAAGCAAUGUUCUUCCUGGCUGGUCUUUCUCUUUUCUCAGCCAGACUCCAUUUUGUCCACCCGGGGGUUUCUUUGUUGGCUGUUUUUUAUUAUUUUCCUCUCCUUGUUUUAAAAUGCCGAUGCAUUGACAGAUGUUUCCCAUAUAUUUCCAUUCUAUGGCGCUUUAAAUCUUGCUGCUGUAGCAGCUACAAGUCCUUUCAAGGGAUUAUUGCCUUCAUUCUUACACCUGGGUCAUCUGGAUAUCUGAAGGGAGAAAGCAGCAUUCUCUGCUGGCUCUGUGAUUAAAAUGAUUUAUCUUGCCACAUCUCACAGUAUCACAUUGAGCACAAUGCCACCACUCUUCUUGAACACAGGCUCCUGCACAAGACUGCACUAAUGGGUUUUCUUCCCCCAGGCAGGAAUGAUUUCAAAACCCCAAUGUUUUGUUCUGUGGCUACAAAAAUACAUGAUGCUCAAAGCCAAAUUCAGAGGGAAGCAAUACAUUAGGUGGGAACCACAGUAAAACUCAAAGCAACCUUGUGUAUUAGUCAGGUAAUGUAAAGCCAGCAUCCAGAAUGAUGAUAGCAGGAAUAUGUUCAUUAACUGAAGGCAUCACACCUGCCUUUUUGCUGCUGAGCUCUGCAAUAGUAUGCAGUUCUCACACCCAGAAACAUCUCUCAGAAUCAGGUAAUAUAGUUUAAUCUAAGCACUACCUCAUUUAUCCUAUUAUAGACUGGAAUUUUAUCUUUCUUCUUACAUCACUUUUUUUUUUCUCCUUUACAACAAAAUUCACAUUUAAAAUAAAUGAUCUAAGCAGCGGUUGCAUUGCCCAGCACAGUGGCAAUGUUCACAAAAUGCCAUGGAGAAAUAAAACAAAGCCAGGGUUUACUGAACGUUGGAGUUUUCCUUUGGAAAAUAAAUGUUUUACCAUAUGUUGCCUUGUAUCUUGAAUUUUCUGCCUUUAGAGAGUCCAUUCAGCCUUGUAUUUGACUCUGAGUGGAAGAAGAAUGCAAUACACGUGUCAACUCAUAAUACAGCCUGGCCCUAUCCUGAUGUUCUCUCUUAACAGAUGCUGUUGCUACAUAUCUCAGCUGGUAAGGCAAAGCAGAUUGAUGGCCAUUGGGGAAGGUUGGUGCAGUCCCACACCCUGAGCACUGCUGUUCCCAUUAUGUAAAUCCUAAAAGCCCUUGCUUUUUGACUCUCUGAGCCAGGUGUGUGGCAGCACCACUUACAACUUGUGACCCUAUCAUAGAUCAGUCCUGUAUGUUUUUUCCCAUUUCUCACUAGUGAAAACAGUAGAUACAAAGGCCAGGGCUGGAUGACUAGCUGCCCCACCGCUCCGGCAUAUGACAGCGCCAGCCCACCCUGCCUAUUAGGUGAUCAAAUGAGGGAAACAGAGCUCUUCAACAACAAACUGCUCAUUGUGCAGGCUUUCCUACCUGGGACCAGCUCAGGAGGGCCCCAGAUCCCUCUCAGCCCAGCUGAGGGGGACAGAUAACUCCCCAUACUGGAAAUAAGUGUCCAACCGACCAGGCAAGCCAGCUGCCUUUGCAUUUUCUUUAUCAGUCACCUGCUGUAUGACCCCAGUCCUGUACUGUGCACUUGUGAUGGGAGCAAAGAGAUCUCCUUGCUAUCUGUACAAGACAAUCGAGUCAUUUAGCAGCAAUUAGGCUCCCUACCAGCUUAAGUCAUUUACAAUUAUACAAUGGCUCCUAACAGCUCCAGAGUCCCAAGACACUAUUUGAGGGAGGUCAUAAACCAGUCAGGGGUGUUGGCAGAGCUGAAAAGGAGCAUGGAGCUAAAUAAGGAAAAAUGAGGUAGCCCAUAGGGUUUAACCCUGAAGUGCCUCAGUGAGAACCACUCUUCUAGCAUUCAAACACUCGUCACCCCCUUUCCGGAGUGAAGAUAAUAGUCAGCCAACUCACUUUUCCAACUUCUGUUUCUGUGUCUACGUAAUAAGCAUACAGAUGAAAGGGACAAUUUUUUUUAUUUCCUAGGAAGCAGCACUGUACAGUGCAUUCUUAGCAUUUUAUUUCAUUUUAUUUUAUUUUAUUUUAUUUAUUUAUGUGUCAUGCUCCUUAUAUGCAUUUAUAUGGUUGCUUUUUAUCGAGACACUAGGACUCCUGGAGGUGCUGUGGCUGGCACUUAACCUCACAUACUAGGUAAAACUUCGGGCCCCCUCAGCAGACCUUGCAAAGGCAUGGACUCCAUUUCAGGUGCCCUAAACCUUCCACAGAAAGUGCGGAAGGAGAUCAUUUUCAUAGGAUAAACCAACCCAUGCAAACUGUUUCCUUGGAAAUCCACCACAGAAAGCCUUGCAAAUGAGAGGUUUUGAUAUCUGUGCUCACAUCCAUAACACUUCUUGUUUUCUGAUUGCCAGUGCACUAUUUCUCUGUUGCUAGCACUUGCCACACUAGGAAUCAAAGCCCCACAAGACAUUACAAGAACACUGCUAGACCAGUGCUGCCGAUCUCUGUCUGCAUGUUCUAACACCUACAGCAAUCAGAGCUAUUGCUGUGCUGGUGAGGCCUGAUCUUGUGUGCUAUCAACCAUUCACUUGUACACGAUGUCCUGAAGGACAGCAAGGAUGCAGAUAAAAUGCUGCAACCAACUGCUGUAUUGCUUGAGACAGUGCUAAAUUUGUUCUCUAAACGUUUGCCCCCAGUGCAUGAGCCAUCCUAUACACGAUGCUUCUGCUCAGCUGCUGGUGAAGCUGGAGGAAAUUUUUUAGCUCAGCUGCCUCAUGCAGCAGUGCUUGGAGAGCAGAGCCAUCCCCUAGAGGAAAUGAGGCUGCCUGAAGAUCUCAAGGAGACAAGGCGGAGAUCACCAGAUGAAUUUUCUUCUCCCAGUGGCGAUAUUUCUUCAGAUACGCCAUUAACAGCGGCCUGUCUGGGAGCACAGCCUUCAUUUUCUGUAAGUAGUUGAGAUUGCCAAGGUUAAUGAAGUUAAAAUGUGUCAAGGACCAAGCAAUGCUGAAGUUCUUGAGUUGCACGUAUCGUUGCUAUCUCCCUUCUGCUAGCAGAAUGCUAGAAAUGCUCCCUGAAGAAAUUGAGUCCAUUUUAUGGAGAGAAAGUACACUGUUUAUUAGCAGCUCUCACACCUUCUAAUCAUUUCUUCUUUAAAAAAUAAUUACGAAAUGAAGCAUAGGGCAAAGUUAUCUUCUUAUCCAGUGAGCAACCUUACAACUUAUCACCUGUUGUCAUCAUUAGGGCAAGGUUCAGGCAGGAUGUUAAGUAAUUCAGCUCAGAGGCAGAGCUGACAACAGCUGUGGGUUCCUAUAUGGUAUAUGUCUCAGUGCUUUGGGCCAGCACCACUCAGCAGAAAGGACCUGGAGUUUCGGGCCAGUCUCAUGACAUGUGCUUUGUAUUGUUCCUGAGAACUAGGUUCUAUUUACUUUCAUUCUUCUGCUCCUUAAACCCAUAAGCAACAGAUGCACAAGAGGACAGGCUCAAACUCUCAAGCAAAGAGUAGGUAUUUUCUGCUUUGGCAUGGUGAAGACAUAUAGCAAAGUCAUUGCCCAACUUAGAAUGGCUUGUAGCUGUAGUUUCUAGAAAUUACUACUUGCUAGAAGUGACAUAAAUUGCAACAUAAGCAAUAUAUAUGUAAGGUUGGAGGGGCAUUAAGUCCUACAGAGCCCAGUCCUACUUGCACCACACAUUUAGUGGCGUCCAUCAGUGUUGUCCAUGAGUGCUGUUUCACAUAGAAAGUUGAUUCUCUUCACACAGGGCUGCAGAGGCAGAACAAACAGAUAUUUGGACUCUUGUUUCCUUUUCAGUGACCUUUUCAACAGUCGCCACCACUACCCUGCUAAAUAAUGUGAUCUUUAGAAAGGGUACAUUAAAAGUAAUAAAUCUGAACAAGCCAUGGCCUCAAAAAUACAAGUAGAAAGCUGAGAAUAGUACUGGGCUUUCACUACUGGUACCAUGUCAGUAGGGGAUUUUCUGUUUGUCAUAGGAAUUUGCCAGGAAACAUAUUUAAAUGCUGAACUUCUGAACUUCUCCUUUCACCUGUAUUUGAACCCUGCUAAAUGAUUUUACAACUAUUAUUGCUUUAUAGCCCAUGACUGUAAAUUCUUCCAUUAGAUUUUAUUACUUAAGGAUAAAAACGUGUGCCUGGGGUUUGUAUUUAUAUUUAAUAAUACGUGUAUGCGCUCCCACAAAGUGGCUGAGAGAUAAGAUAGAAGGGAUGAACGGCUGUUUGCAUCUGAGGAUGGCGAUGUCCCUCACUGGGAGUCCACUUCGGACUGCAGUGGGGAGAUCUGACAAACUGAAUCUGUAGUCACCUCAUCAAAUGGCCCCCAGAAGCCAGAAACACUCUAUGCUGGUAGAGGAAGGAAAAAACAGUUUUGUCAGGCUCAAGUAACAAGAAAAUGGGGAAACUGAUUCAAACUAAAAGGGGUGAGAUUUGGACUGGAUAUAAGGAAGAUGUUUUUUACAAUAAGGGUGGUGAGGCACUGACACAGGUUGUCCAAAAGAGUGGUGGAUGCCCCAUCCCUGGAGACAUCCAAGGUCAGGCUGGAGGGGCUCUGAGCACCCUGACUGAGCUGUAGGUGUCCCUGUUCAUUGCAGGGAGUUGGACCAGAUCCCUUCCAGCUCAAACAAUUCAAUGAAAAUUGUAAAUUUGCCCCUGUAAAAAUUUUGCAGUAUUUAAAACUGUCGCUUAAAACAGAAGACUCCUUUGGUUUUGUUCUCUUUUCUGAGGCUGUAGGACUAAUGAUUUCAAGCUUUCCUCCAUUAUCUAAGGAGCUUGAUUCUCUUUUCAUUUUAAACAAACCCUGAAUUAUGCUAUAAUAGCAGGACUCUAAAAGCUUUUCUCUCUCUGACAGAAAAAAAAACCACUAAUGAUCAUUGUAAAACAGCUGACAGAAAUGAUAAGAAUGGAUAUCAUUGGUCCUCAAUAUGCCCACUUCUUCCACAUGAAUCCUGUCCCUCAUGUGAUGAACUUUAGAGGGAUAAAGUGAUAAAGUUGAGUUUUAUUCAAUUGAUUUCUUUCUUCCAGCUUCCCCCCCCCCCCCCUCCGUUUUUUUGUGGAUUGUUGCCAAGCAGAAAUAUCAAGAAAAGGUGAAGAUUUCCACCAAGCUCUGGCUGAGGAGUCCUCAGGGUGCUGACAUCCAAGCAGGCAUUCUCUUUCUCUCCAUCAGUUGGCAGGAAGUCAACGCCUUGUGGGGUACAGAUUGAGCCCCAAGCAGGAGAAGUAAAGGUGCACACCUAGAGAAGACUGCAGUGCUGCAGCCACACGAAAACAAGGACGAUGUGCACAGAAGGCACAAAGACAGGCAGCCUAAGAAGUGGGCAGCCAGAUACAAAACAAGUUCAGUCUUUGCUCAUCUGACAGUGAUUUUGCCACUGCUGGGAGAAGACUAGCUUUGCUUCAGGACAGUUUGACAUCUUUCAAAGGCUUCUGCUUUUCCUCCUUAAAGGGAAGCCUGGAGGAGCUCUAUCCAAAAAUACCCAUUUCUACUGAUGGCGCUGACUCUCUGCCAAAGGUCUAAAGCACAGAGAUCAUCAACUUCAGCCUGAGAAACAGUUGAGAAAGGGGAGAGAAUAGGGUUUCUUUUCUUCCCAGAAUAGUUCUCUCAUUUCUGCCAACACUUCAAGAUAAAAUCAGGUUUAACAAAAGUAGAAGGGUUUCCAUAAGAGGCUUCAAAGAGACGAGCAACUCAGAGGUUCAGGGAGACCAGGGAAACUCCACUCCCUGCCAGACAAAAAGCACUUCAAGCACGGGGGUCUGGAUGGGCACCGAAAAUUUGCAGUGCUUUGGAGUAUUUUAAUUUCAUAAGCACACCUUCUGUUUCAGGUAGUAUAGACCUCACGCUUCACAGUUUGCUCCCUGUUUCUCCACCUCAUCUGUCUCCAUUACUCAAUUGUUCCAAGUAAAACUCAAAAGGGUUUGCUCUGCAAAAUGAAGAAUUGGUUUGCAAGAUCCCAGACGAGAAGAAAUGUGCACUGAUGGCAUUUUUUAAAUGGUAUUAUCAUUCUGCUUUAACAAAGUUUAAGGCAAUUAACUCCCUAAGAGCCUCAGGUGGCUGAUUUCCUGAUUACUCAGCCAGAGGGAAUGUCAUCGCAACUGCAGCAAUUAAUUAAUUAACUCGUGCCAAUUGAUUGGAAGACUCACUCCAUUAUAAAGCCCUUGCUUCAGUCUCUUGUCAUUUUUCUGCUACUGCUGGGAGUUCUUUUAAGGAUUUCCUGAGGUUUUGUUUCAGCCCAAAGGCAGACACCUUUUAACACUUACAGCCAAAGCAAUACAUCAACUUUUGUCUCAGGCUAGGGUGAAAAAGACCUGGGCACUCAUACCAAGUGAGCACCAGCUAUGUUCAGAUAACGUAGCUAAAUACUUUGAAACCAGGAAAAGUCAACUAUAGGGCUACGUGCCCAACCAGGAUUGAUUGUGCUGGUCUGUGAUUUCUACCCAUCAGAUAGCAGCUCAGGGAGCGAAGCAAUAGCAUAGCUGUCAGACUCGGUUCUGCUCCCAAAGGCACUGCUUCCUGCAGCAACUGGUUUCAUCUAAGGCAGCAGGGUGGAAAGAUAGAGCUCUCUCCAUGCACUGUUGGUGAUAUUAGGAGAGUGUGAGGAGGCAAGCAGGUCAGGCAUGUAAGUCCGGGCACCGAAAGCAUGGUUUUUCCCUGAGGGUCAGCAGAAGGAUUGGGGCCUUUGUCUCCAAGCCCCUCACUCCUCUCCACUGAGCUCUGAUAGCACUUACUUUCUCUGGAAGUUAUCUGAAUUGUGCAGACACUUGUCUCCUGCCAAGAAAUAGCUGUGUCAGGACUGCGUGCCAUUAUUUCUCUCUUUGUUCCCUUCCCAUGCUGAUGGUGGAUUUCAACUUUUUGGGCUCUUCUCCAGCUGCUGUCAGAGUUCUUUGUUUAUUAAACAAUUUCUUUGCCUUUUCCCCUGGGGAAAGGACAGUGCGGGAACACACAUGGCAGGGGUCUCCAGCCCCGAUUCAAGCAUGGUACCAGGGAUCUUACCACGUCUCAUUUGGAUUCCUUGUGGCAUUCAGGUUUAUCACACUCCUUCAGCUGCUGAUUGUGAGAAGCAAAAGGUGUGCAGCACCACCUCUGCAUGCAAAGCUCAGUGUGCAGUGCUCCUGGCGUUCUGUGCUCUGCAUGCUCUGCUGACCAUUUGGUGCCAAACCAAGAACUGCAGGCUGCCAAGAUGGGCAAGGACUAACAGUGACAAAAAUACAGCAGACCUCCGCUGGGCUUUCAGCCUGUCUUCUUUGUUUGUUUGUUUGUUUCUGAAAGCGUGCAACCAAAAAUGUUUCUCUCUCUGUUUUCUGUGGAAAGCUGUACUUUGCACAGUUGGUUGGUGUGACUGGAGGGUGUGUGGAGAUCCUCCGCACCCACUUCUCUCCUGUCAUAGGUCCAGCAGCUGUGCAGGCAGCCUCUGCAAUCACUGCUCGCCAUCUUUACUUCUCUCUCUUUCAGCCUCAUGCCUCAUUGCCACCUCACACCCUCCUGGUAAUGGAAAAGACAUGGACAGGAUUUGUAAUGCUCUCAUUCUUGUCAAGGCCGUAUCCUCCAGUGGUAAUGGAUCACCCGGCAGGAAGCACAGUCCUGGGUGAUGGGAAGAUCCUCUCAUCUGCUCCAACUUUGAGUCUAGGAAAAAGGCAGAGCAGGAUAAGAUCAUAGUGCUGAGAGCACCCUUGAGGUAGUGUUACCUGCUCCCCUUUACAGACCAUGCAUCCCAUGGCCGGCAGCUGUAAUGGGGCUGGCUGUCCCCCCCUGAGACUGCUCUCUGCUUUUGUUUCUCUAGAUGUGAAACACCAAUGGUACACAGCAUAUUGCUGUGAGGCGGUCUGAUGGGGUCUGACUUUCUAUCAAGUAAAUACAGAGAACUGUCUUACACGUCUCACUGUGUUUCACAGCCCUGAGCUGAUCACAUUCAGAUAAGGUUUAUCCAGCACUCCAUGAUGUCCUGUCUGGUUAGUGUUUCUCCCAACAACCCCAUCUCCAAUGUUUUCCUUUUAGUGGCUUUGGCAGGAAAGGCAGGGGCUCAUCCUCCAGGGUGUGAAUUUUCCUUAAACAAUCUGGAAAGCCAAACUCAGCAAGGUGCCUAAAACUCUUAGCAACUGUGAUGCUACUGCUUCAAGAAAAUGACAAAAACUUGAAGACAAGGGAGGGUGACAAGCAACAGGGAUUAAUUAGUCCUUUUACAUGUAAUGUCAGUGAGUGUUGAGCAUCUCACUCAAGACUGUUUUGGUCCUGAGAUGUGAGGAAGUCACAGCAUUGAGCACUACCCACUAUUGCCAUGUUGGUCCCCUUUCCACAAACCACUUAAAACUUCUCUCAUUCCCUUCCUUCUCAUUGGCCUGCAUGUUCGGUGAGUUUCCAAAAUAGCCACUCUGUGCAUUUUCAUGCCCCUUCCUAUGAAAAGUACCUAGUCUAGGUGAACGAAGGUAACCUGCAGUAUGAGAGCAUGAGUAAUACUUAAUGGAGGCAGCAGCACGAGUGAUUUGAAAUAAUAUCAGCUUGGGAAUCUCCAUCUCUGGCAGUGACCUGCUGUAUAUCCUUGUAUGUGCAUGUCUCUACUUUCUUUGAUGCAGGCUACUGCUUUUAACCUCAAGUUCCUGCUCUGUCUCUUAACCUCAAGCUCUUUAGGGUGAGGACCAUUUCUAGCUUCAGUGUUGCAAAGCUUUUAACGCAACUUGAUCUUGUUCAAAGACCCCAAGCAUUCUAAUCAAAGUAAUAAUAAUUAUCUGUUUAUUGAACUGUAUAAACAUUAAUCAUUUUUCUCUGUCCUUUGCAAAAGAAUGGUUGCCAGAGGAGGGUUACACCACCCACUUUCAGAUAGGGUGAUUUCAGGAGAAUAUCACUAUACUAAAUUGACCAUUUCUUUAGCACUGAAAAAAGAAAUGUUCUAUCUCUUUUAAUCUAACCCACUCUGUUUGCUACAUUGUCAAAAGUUAUAUUUAAUUUUUUAUCUUUCUAUAUCGUAAUAACACUGAGGGACUUCGAUUAAAGAGCAGGACUAUGCUGUUUCAUGAGCAAGGAAGAAAAAGCAGUCUUUGCCCCAGAGAGAUAUAUAAAUGGUUAUAAAAACAGUGAUAAUUCAUUCUUCUAACACUUUUGUAAAGUAAGCAAAUAUGAUUAUCAUCCUCAUUUUACAGAUGGGGAAGUAUGUCAUGGAGAGGUUAAGUGAUUUAUCUAUCACUACGCAGCAUAUAAUGACAAGAAAAGACUAAAACUGUGCCUGAUCUCAGAACUAAACACAGUUCUCUCAUCUAUAACACAAGCCGUUAGCAGCAAAAACAGAAACGGGAACCAAAGUUUCUGACACAACUGGUUAAAAAAUUCCCAUCUAUUUGUUGAGAGAUAAAACUAUAAAAAAAGAAUUUCCCAAAAUUAUUUUCAUCUUUUGCC